rnacentral:rRNA from 1 species
GAUGAACGCUGGCGGCGUGCUUAACACAUGCAAGUCGAACGAAGCACUUUAUUUGUUUUCCUUCGGGACUGAUCAUUUUGUGACUGAGUGGCGGACGGGUGAGUAACGCGUGGGUAACCUGCAUUGUACAGGGGGAUAACAGAUGGAAACGGCUGCUAAUACCGCAUAAGCGCACAGCAUCGCAUGAUGCAGUGCGAAAAACUACGGUGGUAUAAGAUGGACCCGCAUUGGAUUAGCUAGUUGGUGAGGUAACGGCCCACCAAGGCGACGAUCCAUAGCCGACAUGGGAGGGUGACCGGCCACAUUGGGACUGGGACACGGCCCAAACUCCUACGGGAGGCAGCAGUGGGGAAUAUUGCACAAUGGGCGAAAGCCUGAUGCAGCGACGCCGCGAAAGCGAAGAAGUAUUUCAGUAUGUAAAGCUCUAUCAACAGGGAAGAUAAUGACGGUACCUAACUAAGAAGCACCGGCUAAAUACGUG